rnacentral:tRNA from 1 species
GACUCCGUGGCGCAAAGGUAGCGCGUCUGACUCCAGAUCAGAAGAUUGCGUGUUCAAAUCACGUCGGGGUCA